rnacentral:tRNA from 1 species
GAGUGUAUAGCUUAAUUGGAUAAAGCACUAAACUUUUAAUUUAUGUAUCUUAGGUUCGAAUCCUAAUACACUCA